rnacentral:rRNA from 1 species
GAUGAACGCUGGCGGCGUGCCUAAUACAUGCAAGUCGAACGCUGGAAAUCUAGCUUGCUGGAUUGAAGGAGUGGCGAACGGGUGAGUAAUACAUAAGCAACCUACCCACGAAGACUGGGAUAAUCUCUGGAAACGGGGACUAAUACCGGAUAGGUAAUCGGAAGGCAUCUUCUGAUUAUUAAAGGUUAAAAACACUGGUGGAUGGGCUUAUGGCGCAUUAGUUAGUUGGUGAGGUAACGGCCCACCAAGACGAUGAUGCGUAGCCGGCCUGAGAGGGUGAACGGCCACAUUGGGACUGAGACACGGCCCAGACUCCUACGGGAGGCAGCAGUAGGGAAGUUUCGGCAAUGGGGGAAACCCUGACCGAGCAACGCCGCGUGAGUGAUGACGGCCUUCGGGUUGUAAAGCUCUGUUGUAAGGGAAGAACGGUAGAUAGAGAAUAUCUAAAUGACGGUACCUUACCAGAAAGCCACGGCUAACUACGUG